GGAAUAUAGUUCAGUGGUAGAGUACUUGCCUAGCAUGCAUCAGGUCCUGAGUUCAAUCCCCAGUAUCACCA
rnacentral:tRNA from 1 species